ACACAAAUAUAGCCAUUUUAUUUACUAUGUGAGUGUUUCACUUUAAUGGGGUCAUAGAUAACAUCUGAGAUCCGCUCCAUGUAACACGUUUCUGUACAGCUCCAGCUGGUCUGACUACACUGUAAUAAACCCUUGCUGGAUCAUAUGUAUUCAGAUAAUAUUGUCCCUAUAAUACAGUGUUAAUAAGCCGGUGGCCUGAGUGUCAAAAUGUACUCAAUGAUAAAUGAUGACUGAUGUGGAUGGUUGUGUUGACAGUAAUGUAGAUACUUAUGUGACGGCUCAAUUUGCCCUAUUUCAGUUGCAGAACGCCACCAACCGAAAGGGCAGUUUUGUUUUUGGGUUUUUUUUUUUUCCUUUGUUUGUGGAGUGAUGAAAUUGAUCUCCCCCUACUCCCCCAUGACCCUCACUGCUGUGGGCAGGGCUUCUUCUCCAGGUUCUUCUCAUGUGAAAGGUGCCAGUUAUGACCUACAACCUACCUUGUACAGACAUUGGCCGUUUUAUCAGAAACACCAUAUUUUGUAAGUAUCUGCACUAAAAAAUGUGACUUCUUAAAUUUACUUGAUUCAAACAUUUAAAUCAAAUAAAUGCAGUGCAGCAGUUUUUCAGUGCAGUUACUGACAGUAGCCCAUGUGUUGCUAUACACACCCUACACGGCCGUAGUGUGGUACGAGUGUAUCGAGCGCAGCAGUGUUACUGUUAUCGAUAAAAGCUGCAUACAAGUUUGCAGAGGAUCUGAUCCUGGAUCAGUCUGUGUGACUGCCUUUAAAUCAGUAAGGAGCUGAAGUCCAUCCUGCUCUUUGAAAGCUCAAUGUCCAAAUACAGGAAUGCUGCACUUUAGUAACUCGCCAUGUCCUACAUGUGGACAAUUAAGCUCCUUUUGUUUCUAUGAGGCUCACUAAUAGGAUCUAAGGCUAGACUAUAACAGGCCAGAGAGAACACACUGAGCAACACAUACAAAACCACUAACCUCAGCUCUUCACCUGCGUUUGAGAAAAUAAAUCAUCAGCAUGGUUUUCUACACAUCUGUGACCUUCGUAAGUAAAAGUGUCAUACCUGAAAACACACACACUCGUCCGCGAUGCGAGUUCAAACACUCGUUCUUCUGAUUCUCCUGAUGCUCA
ensembl:lncRNA